UGCGAGUCACGUAGCAAUACGUGGCAUACGGCUCAGUAACACGUAGUCAACAUGCCCAGGGGACGUGGAUAACCUCGGGAAACUGAGGAUAAACCGCGAUAGGCCAUGAUGUCUGGAAUGACUUAUGGCUCAAAUCUACAUAGGCCCCUGGAUUGGACUGCGGCCGAUCAGGCUGUUGGUGAGGUAAUGGCCCACCAAACCUAAAACCGGUACGGGCUCUGAGAGGAGAAGCCCGGAGAUGGGCACUGAGACAAGGGCCCAGGCCCUAUGGGGCGCAGCAGGCGCGAAAACUCUGCAAUAAGCGAAAGCUUGACAGGGUUAUUCUGAGUGAUUUCCGCUAAGGAAAUCUUUUGGCACCUCUAAAAAUGGUGCAGAAUAAGGGGUGGGCAAGCCUGGUGUCAGCCGCCGCGGUAAUACCAGCACCCCGAGUGGUCGGGACGAUUAUUGGGCCUAAAGCAUCCGUAGCCGGUUCUACAAGUCUUCCGUUAAAUCCAUCUGCUUAACAGAUGGGCUGCGGAGGAUACUAUGGAGCUAGGAGGCGGGAGAGGCAAGCGGUACUUAGUGGGUAGGGGGUAAAAUCCGUUGAUCCACUGAAGACCACCAGUGGCGAAGGCGGCUUGCCAGAACGCGCUCGACGGUGAGGGAUGAAAGCUGGGGGAGCAAAACCGGAUUAGAUACCCGGGUAGUCCCAGCUGUAAACGAUGCAGACUCGGUGAUGAAUAGGCUUCGUGCCUUUUCAGUGCCGCAGGGAAGCCGUUAAGUCUGCCGCCUGGGGAGUACGGUCGCAAGACUGAAACUUAA
rnacentral:rRNA from 1 species